rnacentral:rRNA from 1 species
UACGAAGGGGGCUAGCGUUGUUCGGAAUUACUGGGCGUAAAGCGCGCGCAGGCGGCUUCUCAAGUCAGGGGUGAAAGCCCAGAGCUCAACUCUGGAAUUGCCUUUGAGACUGAGUGGCUUGAGUACGAGAGAGGUGAGUGGAUUUCCCAGUGUAGAGGUGAAAUUCGUAGAUAUUGGGAAGAACACCGGUGGCGAAGGCGGCUCACUGGCUCGUAACUGACGCUCAUGCACGACAGCGUGGGGAGCAAACAGG